GAAUUAGCGCAGUCUGGUAGCGCGCCUGCUUUGGGAGCAGGAUGUCGGGGGUUCGAAUCCCUCAUUC
rnacentral:tRNA from 1 species